AAAUAAGUUAUGAAGGGCUUGAGGUGGAUGCCUUGGGACUGGUUGGCGAUGAAGGGCGUGCAAAUCUGCGAUAUGCCACGGGGAGCUGAUAAGAAGCGAUUAAUCCGUGGAUUCCCGAAUGGAGAAAUCCAAGUAGUAGAGAUACUGCUUAUCUUCAGAUGAAUAAAUAGUCUGUUGAAGUAAUACCCGAUGAAGUGAAAAAACUCAGUAGUCGGAGGAAAAGAAAACAAAGUGAUUCCGUAAGUAGUGCGAGCGAAAGCGGAAGAGGACAAACCUGGGGUAACCUGGGGGUUGUAGGACUACGAUGUGGAAGUAGAGUGUAUAGUAGAAUAAGUUGGAAAGCUUAGUCAAAGAGGGUGAUAACCCCGUAUACGAAAUGCACUUUAUACCUAGUAGUAUCCUGAGUAGGGCCGGACACGUGAAAUCCGGUUUGAAGCUGCCGCGACCAUGCGGUAAUCCUAAAUACAAACCAGUCACCGAUAGCGAAAUAGUACCGUGAGGGAAAGGUGAAAAGAACCCAGAGAUGGGAGUGAAAUAGAAUCUGAAACCACAAGCCUACAAAGAGUUGGAGCACAUUUAUGUGUAACAGCGUGCGUUUUGAAGUAUGAGCCGGAGAGUUAUUGUUGCAUGCAAGGUUAAGCUGUAGAAGUGGAGCCGUAGGGAAACCGAAUCUUAAUAGGGUGUUUAGUAUGUAGCAAUAGACCCGAAACGGGUCGAUCUAGUCAUGGGCAGGUUGAAGGUAGAGUAACAUCUGCUGGAGGACCGAACCCACUUUCGUUGAAAUGCCAGGGGAUGACCUGUGACUAGGGAUGAAAUUUCAAUCGAGAUCCGUGAUAGCUGGUUCUCGCCGAUAUAAUUUUAAGAUUAGCCUCGGAUUACUGGGACUGUGGAGGUAAAGCUCUGAAUGAAUGAUGGCGUCGCCUAGACGUACUGAAUUCAAUUAAACUCUGAAUGCCACAGGACCUAUUCCGGGAGUCAGACUGCGGGGGAUAAGCUUCGUAGUCGUGAGGGGAAGAGCCCAGAUCAUUAGCUAAGGUCCCUAAUAUAUGUUAAGUGGAAAAGGAUGUUGGAUUUCUUAAACACCAAGGAUGUUGGCUUAGAAGCAGCCAUCGUUUAAAGAGUGCGUAACAGCUCACUUGUCGAGAAAUCCUGCGCCGAAAAUUCAACGGGGCUAAACAUAUAACCGAAGCUAUGGGAUAAAUUUUAUUUAUCGGUAGGCGAGCGUUGUAUACUGGGUUGAAGGUAGAUCGUAAGGACUGCUGGACUGUAUACAAGUGAGAAUUCCGGUGUGAGUAACGAAUGAAAGUGAGAAUCUUUCAAGCUGAUUGACUAAGGUUUCCUGGACUAGGGUCGUCCUUCCAGGGUUAGUCGGAACCUAAGACGAGGCCGCGAGGCGUAGCCGAUGGACAACAGGUUAAUAUUCCUGUACAUAGUAUUUGAAUGAUGGAGUGACGGAGAAGGUUAAUGCAUUACGGUUAUUGGAUUCCGUUAGAAGCAUCAAGUCUUGAGGGCAGGCAAAUCCACCCUCUAUACGGACAAGGUGUGAUAUUAUACGAAAGCCUUCGUGUGAGUAGGAAAAUGCAUACAUCACGCUUCCAAGAAAAGCUUCUAAAUUUAUCAAGUAUUAUUCCGUACCGAGAACGAACACACGUGGUCAAGGAGAAUAUCCUAAAGCUAGCGAGUUAACUAUUGUUAAGGAACUCUGCAAAUUGCUCCCGUAAGUUCGCAAUAAGGGAUGCUCUGUAAAGAGCCACAGUAAAGAGCGAGAACCGACUGUUUAUCAAAAACACAGCUUUAUGCAAAUUCGUAAGAAAAAGUAUAUGAGGCGACACUUGCCCAGUGCUGGAAGGUUAAGGAAGUGAGUUAGCAGCAAUGCGAAGCUUGUGACCGAAGCCCCAGUGAACGGCGGCCGUAACUAUAACGGUCCUAAGGUAGCUCAAUUCCUUGUCGGGUAAAUUCCGUCUAUGUGAAAAGUGUAACGAGUUCUUGACUGUCUCGACAAUAGACUCGGUGAAAUCCUGGUGGGGGUGAAGACGCCCCCUAGGCGCGAUUGGGCGGAAAGACCCCAUGAAGCUUUACUGUAACUUAAUAUUGAAAAAAUAACUUGUAUUUAGAGCAUAGGCGGGAGACUUUGAAGCACGUCCGCUAGGAUGUGUGGAGUCACCACUGUAAUACCGCCAAUAUAAUUUGUUUUUUCUAACCUGCUGGAGUCAUCCUCCAGAGGGACAGUGUUAGGCGGGCAGUUUGACUGGGGCGGUCGCCUCCCAAAAUGUAACGGAGGCGCGCAACGGUACCCUCAGCACGGUUGGAAAUCGUGCAUUGAGCGUAAUGGUAUAAGGGUGCUUGACUGCGAGAGUUACAACUCGAGCAGGUAAGAAAUUAGGUCAUAGUGAUCUGGUGGUUCUGUAUGGAAAGGCCAUCACUUAACGGAUAAAAGUUACUCUGGGGAUAACAGGCUGAUGGUGUCCAAGAGUUCAUAUCGACGACACCGUUUGGCACCUCGAUGUCGACUCAUCUUAUCCUGGGGCUGUAGCAGGUCCCAAGGGUUCGGCUGUUCGCCGACUAAGAAGAUACGUGAGUUGGGUUCAAACCGUCGUGAGACAGGUUGGUCCCUACCUGUCGCGCCCGAAAGAAGAUUGCGAAGAGUUGCUCCUAGUACGAGAGGAUCGGAGUGAAGUUACCUCUAAUGUUCCUGUUAUCACGCCAGUGGUAGCGCAGGGUAGUUACGUAGCGAAAGGAUAAGCGCUGAAAGCAUAUAAGUGUGAAGCCCCCUUCAAGAUAAAUCUUCUCAGCCGCAAGGCAUAAGAAUCGUUGUAGACCACAACGUUGAUAGGAUGCAGGUGUAAGUGGAGCGAUCCAUUAAGCUGAGCAUUACUAAUAAUUCGAAAGACUUAUAGGA
rnacentral:rRNA from 1 species